GACUCAUAAUAAUAAUGAUGAUGAUAAUAAUAAUAAUAAUAAUAAUAAUAUUAUUAUUAUUAUUAUCAUUACUAUGAAAAUUAUUAUUAACAUUUUUUUAAUUUUCUUAUACUAAUUAUUUAUUAUUAUUAUGAAAAUUAGUAUUAUCAUUACUACGUUUAGAGAUUUUCUACAUAUAUUUUGUGUAACCAUACACCUAUGAAGGUAUAAAAUCUCAACCUCUCUGGAGAAACACAAUCGGUCGCUAAAAGGUUAAUAUAGUUUUACCCUGUCAUGGUAAGACAUCUAGGCAUUUACCUAGAGCAUUUUAUUUUCAAGGGAAAUAAUUGUGGUCUGACUAUUAUUUCAAAAAUCACAUUUGUGAUUUUUUUACUUGCACAGCGGUACAGUUUUUGCAAGGAAGCGAAAGUUGCUGGAAUUUUGUCUUCUUCUAAAAACAAGUGUCUGGUACAUGUAGUUGCAGUCUGUCUUUGGAAGCUGUUGAAGUAACAAGAAAGAGGCUACAUUGACAUCCUGGUAUACUUUGUUAUAUAUGAAGUUUAUUGAUGGCAUUCAUGAUAUCAUUAUAGAGUACCCUACAUUGAUUUUCUGACAGUCAUGUGUUAUUACAUUUGAACUGGGACUGUUUCAUAAUCAGUUUUGGUAGGGAGAAGUUUGAGUAUGUACAGUUGUUUGACCUGUCUUACCAUAUGGCAGUCCCAGAAGAUGUUACCAUUAUGAAUAAAUGCAGGGGAACUUGAAGACAAUGGUUAGUGCAGAAGGGACAUAAAAGUAAUGUGAAAGUAACAGAUAUAAAAGAUAUAAAUAAGAAGUGCUACAAGUGUGUUGUCAUGUGAAUAGGACUUUACCCCAACUGUGCUGCAUGAUAUAUAUUCAAGAGUGAGACAGCCAUGCACCAUCUGUAAACUGAGAUGGACCCACACAUGAAAUAUGUUGACUUUUCUAUGUAUUAUCAUCUGUACAGAAUGUUUUUAUGACAAGACUGUAUACAUAUAUUGUUAAAUCAUUUUUUAUUUCCAUUAUGGCAUGCAUGUAAGAAGAAAGCAAUAAUUAAACAAUUGCAUUCAUAGAAAUGUUAAAAUGUGAUCAAUCUAAUUUAAAGAAUAACCUUUAAUUGGACUUUUCAAAGUUUCAUAUUAUUUUUGGUGGAGAUUGACCCAGUCAUUCAGCAACUUAUACUGUCUGUGAGUCAUUUCUUAUAUGUUAUAGUUUUCUUAAUAAUGCAUAAAAUAUCAAAAUAAUGGUUAGAUGAACUCAUUCUUCACUUGUACAUUAAUGUUAAAGCAGUUCAACAUUUUACCAUAACUUAAUUAAUAUUCUAUUAACCAGAUUUGUCACAUAUUUUCAUAUAAACAUUUGUAUAAUACAGUCUAAUCUAAUUUAGAAAUGAUGUUCCACAAUUUUUUAGUUAUACUUUAUUUUGUUUUGAUGUCUCAACAUAUAAUUACUAACAUCAACAAAACUUAGAUAUUUUACAAUUUGGUUGGUAUAAAUGGUUGUUUUGUUGAUAUGUUUUAUUUAUUUCCAUCCAGGGGAAUAAAGAAAUAUACAUUUUAAAAUAUCUCAUCAUUCCAGAUAAGUACACUACAUAUUCAAGAUAAAAGAAAUAAGAAAAAUUAUGUUGGUGGAAUUUUAUUUAAAAAAAAUGAUAUACAGUCUUUGCAGUAUUUACUUCUUUAGAUAUGUUGGAUUGAAAUUGGAAUAACAACAUACUUUAAAUUUUUGCAGUCAUAAGUUAAUAUGGGAAUUAUUAACUUGAAAUAGAUUUUAUCUCGCCGUUAUGCCAUCUGCGCUUUAAUAUUUUUCAACAUUGACAUUGGCAGCAAGGCUAAACAUUAUUUCUUAUGUAUACCUUGCAUUCAUGUGUGAUAAAUGAUUUUACGGUAUUCUUUAAAUGAUAUAUGCUUUUCAUCUUACCAUGGAUUAAAAAAAUAUAUAUUUAUUUGUCUGAAAAUUAAGGUAAAAAUACUGACUGAUUAAAUUGCAAUAUAAGAAAGCUUAUAUGAGAUAAAGGGAGGUAAUUCCAUAAAAAAUAUGUAGAAUGUAGAUGAUAAAAUAUUGUGAAGUUAAUAGUCUUCAUUUCUUUGAUGAGCUAAUUAAUUGUUUUACAUGUUGGUUUAUUAACUACAAGUAUGACCUAACAUGUGUAUUUGUCCUGAAGGAAAAUAAAAAGGUUGUUAGAUGUCCUUCCUGGAUUUGUUUACAUUCCAUGUCUGAAUGAACAGGUGAAACAGACUUUAAUGAGGGUAUAGUAGACGCAACUUGACCGCGAUGGUUGACCUUACGCUGAUUAUUCAUAUCGGUUAUUUCAUUAUAGAAAUCAAGGGUGCUUAGGGUAGCCGUGUAUAUUUAUAUGGAAUUAGUUUGUAUACAUGCAGUGCAGUAUCAAAGUACUAAUAAGCUUUGAUAAUGUGGCAGUUGAGUCUAAUAAUUCCAGGGGUGUUCAAAGAUAAUCCGUCAUAAGGCGUCAUACAUCUAUUGUAAAGCAAAUAUUGGAUUUACCUGUAUUGGAAAAUAAACAGUAUCGAUUGUAUUGAGGUCAACUGCCACAUUAUUAAAGUUUAUUAGUAUAUAUACUUACGUUUGAUCAGUUAAAACUUUCCAAUACACUAAUUUAUAUUUACACAAAAUUAUAUUUCCUUUUUCUCGUGAAGCUCGUUUUACGUACACACCUAUUCAAUAAUAGGUUGUGCCUCAUUAUGUAUUAUAAUGCAAAGGUCAACCAUCGGGGUCAAGUUGCGUCCACUUAGCAAUAUAUAUUUGGAGUCUAAAUGUUAAAAAAUCCGAUUUUAAUUUUUAAGUUACAGUGUCUAAGACAUCACCUAGAGUAGGACUCGUCUUAAAUUUGAACCUAGUUAAAACACGUUUCACGAAACAGUUUUAUGCAUAGUGAUAUCAUAAGUGACGAGUUCAAAAUUUUUAAUAAGCAUGCUUCGUGAUACGGUUCAUCGA